AGAAUGAACGUAAGCGUGAAUGAAAGGGGAAUGAAAGAAAGAGAAACACAAAACCAUUCAUCUCCUCUGGCUGUUCAUGAGUCCUUUGUUCCUUGUGCUUUUCUUCUUUCUAUUUGGUUGAAUUGUAAUGGUAAGGAAGUUAAGCACGAAUUCAACCAAGUGAAAUGAAGAAAAAGCACAAGAAACAAAGAGGAAUGAACGGAAUGCGUGCGUUCUCUUCAUUUCCUUACCAUUCCGUUCAUUCAUCACUCACUCAACAAUCUUAUAGUUGGAGAAGUGGUUCGUUUCUUUCUUCUUUUCACUUGAUUACA
rnacentral:ribozyme from 1 species